CUGUGGUUGGAGUGGUGGUAAUUGUCUGUCCGCCGACGCCAGAGUUUAUAGGCAGCGGACGCUCUUGUUGCUCUGUUUUCGUAGCAACUCUGUGAACUUGCUUUUACUGUGUUUUUAAUUGGUGGUGGUUUCACCCUGAUGGCAGCUGAAGUCCACUGCAGCCACACUCACCCCUCAUCCUCGCAGGAAGAGAGGGAAAAAAUAUGAUGGAAAAGGGCUCAAGGGCUGAGAUAAGGACGGGGAAAUCACUCACCAGUUAUCGUCACAGGCAAAACAGACUCAAUAUAGAGAGGUUAAUAUAAUUUAUUGUCUAUUGAUAAAAGACCAGAGCAGUAGGAACUAAAGGCAAAGUAAACCACCUUCCUUUUAUCCACCCUCUGCUACCUCCUGUCAGCCGGUGGCAGCUCCCCCAGCCCUCCUGCCCACUGUGGGGCCCUCUCCACGGCCUGCAGCUCCGGCCCAGGCCGCUCCUGUGGGGGUAUCCAUGGGCCAUGCCUCCUCCAAGCCUCAUCCACUGCUGCCACGUGGGCUCCUUCACGGCUGCACGGGGAAAUCUGCUCCGUGCGGUGCCCGUGGGCUGCAGGGGAAGGGCCUGCUCCUCCAUGGACCUCCCCUGGGCUGCACGGAGCUGCUGCUCCAGCCUGGAGCACCUCCUGCAGGAAUGCUGAUGCUGUGGGCAGGACUGUGAGUGCCUUGGACCUGCUCCUGAGCUCCCCAGGGAUGAGAACCCUGCUGCCACCUUAGGCCAUCCUGUCUUGCAGGAUGUCAACAGCUCUGCCUUGUAAGUUACGUGGCUGCUGAUUCAUUCAGUAUCCACAGUUAUGGCAGGAGUGCAUCAAAGGAGAGAAAAGAAGGAGCUUUGUAAUAACAGACUGGGCAGUGAGCUAUUACUGAAGAGCUAAAAAUGUGAUUAAAUUAUGGAAAUGUCUCACAAAAAUAUUUACUGAAGUAGCAAAGCUACAUUUCAGACGCAGCAGGACUGAACUGAACUCAUCAGUGCCCAACAACAGACAAGUUCUCUGUUUGUGUCAAUAUUGAAUGAAUGGCCGUUGGCUCCCUGAGCAUCCACUGGUUCCAGUCCUGAUUGCAGAUGUGCAGUUUGAUGCCAGCACAGCCAGCACCCAACUGGUGCUCUGCGACCAACUCUGCUGCAGGCUGAGACCGUGCCAAGCACCCACUGAGCAGAAUGCAAAGGUGCUGUAGGUAGAUUUGUUUUCACUUGUGUAGCACGUCCUGCAUAGCUGGAGUGCAUUGCUCCUCCUGAGGACUUGCUUCUUAGCAGCCAAAGACUGGCUGUGGCUCAUUAGAUGUGCUGUGUGUACUGCAGUGCACAACUAAUUUAUCUUACAUUUUCAUGCUUCUAAGAGUGCUUUCCUGGAACUGUAGAUGUUGAUGAACCAAAAUGUGUUCAUUUUGUAUCAACCCAAAAUAUCAAAUUGAUAUUGACUUAGAUGUGUGAAUCCACACUGGGAGAAAGUAGAAGGAAGGCUGAGUGUGGCAGGAUUGUAAUUCACUUGUGUAGAAAAAACCACCUAAUUUCCCAGCUUUGCAUACUCUGAAAUAGAGUUACCAAUCACAGGAGAGAGAGAAAUUCAAUCAUAAACUAAUCAAAUGUAAUGUGCUCGUGCUAUUAAAUAUACACUCUUCUCCUGCCGUGAGAUUUAAGGUUCUACAUUAUUAAAGGGCACAGAGAGGCUGUGCAGAAGUGGAAGGAGACCAUUCAGUUGUCUGCUUUGUUACAGUGAAAUAAAUAUUCAUAGUCAAAAUUGGCCCUUAAGGAAGACAGCAUUACCUGUACCCUGACACUUCCAUGGGCUGCUGUCCAUCCUUCAGUCAGCAGAAUUCCCUCAGAAUUCCCCUUGUCCUUCCCAUUCCACUCCUGCUCCGCUGUGUGAUGGUGAUGGGCUGACGGUUGGAGCUGAUGAUCUUAGUGGCCUUUUCCAACCUUAGUGAUUCUGUGACUGCCCCGUGUGAUGAGGGCUCAGCUGGGGUCCGCUUGUGCCGCGUGCGAGAGGGACAUCGUGCAGUCACUAGCAAAAGUGUGUCAAUUUGAUCAGCAUUUUGCAGGUAGAUGUUGUGGCCUCUCCCAAAGUGCAGCGCAGGAGGUAAGGCUGUAUUUGGCUGCUCUGAAAUGCAUUUAAAACGGGAGGAUUUAAAAACACAUGUAAAAGGGAACGGUGUGAUCAGUGGAGUAAUUCUGGGGUAACGUGAUUUUCGGUGUCUGUAAAGUGUGAACACUGUGUAUUGCAAAAUUUGGAGUGCAAAAUGCCUACAUCUGUUUGAUGAGUUGCAGCACGGGGGAAUUAGAAACCUUGCCAGUUCAGAAAGAGGCAAAUGGGUCUGUCAGCACCUGGGGAAAUAUGGACAGCAGCUGGGAGAGUAGUAUAAAUGUAUUAGCAAAUGUUUCUGCAAAACAUUCGUAAGUGUUUCUGCAAAAGCAAUCAGCAGUGUUGUUUUUCAUACUGCUGAGAUUUAAGGAACCGUUCCCGUGGUUUCCAGGUUUACACGUCCAGCAGUGCCUGGUGACCGCACUGCAUGUAGCCCCAGCUGGAGCCAGCUCAACUCCCCUUGGCUCUCACAGCUUCCCCGGCUGCAUGUGCAGGAAGCAAAUCAACAGCAAUGUGUCUGGGUGCCCUUCAGGGUGCAGGAGGUUAUCAGCACUGGGAGAACAUACUCAAGCAGGCUUCACUGUACUCAUUAGAGAUGCCUUAAAUUCUGUCAGCUUUUGAAAUAAUUGAAGAGGAAAAUGAAACUGAUGACUCGGGAAAUGUUUGCGUCAAAGCAGAUAUAAGAGACCCAGUGGGAUUUCUGUAGCUGUUUGUCAGCAUUGCCUCUUAGUGUCCCUGAAAAAGCCUCAAAGAGUGUAUUUACUUAGGGCAUACCAGUUUUUAGCCUGUUGAUGCUCAAAGAGCUCGCGAUAAAACUAGACACAGAUUUCCUUGGUAUUUCUCUCAGCAGUCUCCUUGGUGUCAGCUGGUUCGGGGCAGACUUUAUCAGUCAGCCAAGGGAGUAUGUGAAGAGAAGGACAGAGCAGAAACCCCCAUGUGUAUAAGAUGGUGGGGGUAUUUGAUGCAUCUCUACGAACUGAUGAAGCUAUCGCAAAACCAAGAUGGAAGCACUUUAAAAAGACUAAGGAAAACAGCCUGACAGGACUCAAGCGCAACUUUGUCUUUUAUGGAUACCCUUAUGGUUUUAGGUAUGAUGUGCAGGUCUGAAUUUAUGGGGGGAAGACACACUCUGGAGAGUACACUGAGUUAUUAAAAAGUGCUUCAGCUCUGCACUGCAGAGCAACCAUCUCCAUCAACAGGUUAUUAUCUUCUAUGGAUAAAAAUACACUAUAGCUCUGCUUUUUUAAACAGCAAAGGAGCUUUUUUUUUCUUUGCAAGUCAGUUUGUUUUGAAUGACAUUGAGUUUCCAGCUUUUCAGGGAGGUAAUACUAAACAGUGAGCUUUGUUUUUCCAUCUGUAGCACCUGAAGGCACUGGGCAGGGAGAAGCACUGCGGUUUUACACCUUUGUGUCUGGAAGUGAUAAAACGGGAUGAGAGGAUUACCCAGUUUGUCUUUCUCAGUCUUCUCUUAUCACAGCAGCCUCAGCAACUCUGCUAUUUGAAGAAAAAUAGAGUAACAAAAGAACAGUUUCAUCUUCUAACUUGCUAAUACAAUGCUAUCAGCUGCUGGUAUUUUUGAAUUAUGGGUUUUAUGUGAUCCUACACUUGAUUAGAUUUUUUUCUUUCUUAAAAUGGAAAACGUUCUAGAACUGAAGGAAGAAGCUAUAAAUACACAAUGACAUGGUGCUUAAAGAAGGCCUUAGACGUGUUAAGAACAGGGCCCUGCGUGCCAUGAAAAUUAGGAACUCCUGAAUUCUCACAGUUGUGACAUUCUUUCCUUAAUGUCGGUGUCUCAAAGCUAUUUGCAAGGUACUGGGGUCUGGGGCAGAAGUGUGGAGACAUCAGCACCUGGGUGCUGGGUGUUGAGGAGGGACAGACACUGUCUUUCCUUCUCACUGCCUCUGCUCGCAGCAGGACGAAGUGCUGGCUGCUGUAGCUGUGGACGUUCUAACUUGGUGCAGUCGUUAACGUGUUGCUAAUGAAAGAGCAGCUUGCUAGCUAGCAACCCUGCAAAGCAUCUGAGUGGUCUAGGUCUCUGCUUGUCAGGCUACAGAACGCAGGGAUUCUGAUUUACAUUAGCUUGCCUCCUGCUCUGCAAAAAGACGACGUGCAGUUCUCAUCUCACCAAGAUCUGCCAUUUACUUACCGGUAUGUUACCUCGGAGAACUUAUUGUGCAGGGAAACAUUGGAACAGGAAGAGAAUUAAUGUCUCUGCUGACUGAUUAAAUAAUCAGUGCACAGAAACAGGGCGCUAAUGAAGUAUAAGAGGAGACUGAGAUUUGGUUUCUGUCCCUGUCUGUUCUGUUACGCUGCAGUGUGAAGGUGCUGACCAAACAGAGUGCUCCAGCUUGCCUUCUGUUAUUUGGAAUAGAUUGGGUAAGCCUUCACCUCAAAGUCUUCGUCAGAGAAUGUCAGAGCUGGCAAAGCUGGGAAGAUCUUUGGGGCAGAAACGAGAGAUAACAAGAGAUUGUUCCCAGGACUUUCUAUUUCACAUUUCUCUUGGGGUCAGGUGGAACUGGGGAUAAUACCCUCAAAGGAUAAACAAUGUCAUUUUUAUAAAUAUAAAUUAGAAUCAAAACUGUGCAGGGAUGGUGUGGUCUUCAGAAAAGCUAUAGGUGGCAGCAUCAUAGUAAAACAGUUUCCUCGGUGUCUGUGGCUAAACAGAGACUACGUGUGUCAGGAACAAAUGCACAAAAGAGCACGAAUGAAAAAGAGCAGAUGAGAAACUUGUUGGAGCUGAUCACCAGUUAAGCCAGCCAGUUAAAAAGGUCAGUCAUUCCUCUAAAUCUGUGUGUUCUCAGCUCCCUGAGCACGAAUGAACAUGCAGAUGGGCAGAAUUCCCUCCUUCUCGCUGCCUUGCUCAGUCAUUCGGGGCAGCAGUGGUAGCUGGGUUUUGCUAGCUCUGGCAUAUCCUCCAGGCAUGCAGAAGGAAACGCUGUCCUUAGCAGCAGUACUCUUCCAGCAGCUGGAAAGGGAGCUUUUAAAGAAAGGCAAGUGUGCUUGAGUGAGGAGAAUGGGACUGUUGUGAAUCCACACAAGUGGCUCCUGACCACUGACUUUCAGAGAGAUGUGCUGGCGCUUCCUGACAACAGAGCCUGUUUGGGCAUCUUAAAUUUGGCUUCCAAAAGUGAAUGCACCUGAGUUACCUUUGAAAAAAACACAGCGGGCCUUGUUACAGUAAGAAGAAAAACAUUUUUUAUUUCAAUCCCUCCUGCUUUCUAUCAGGGUUUCUGAAAACAGUGAAUGUGGCAUAUUAACUUGUACAAUCUAUCAUUUUUUUCCAGUGUGCUAAUUUCUUUAUAGCAGAAAUGAGACAUUCUUAUUUUCACAGCCCAGAGAGGACUUUAAGGCCCUGAAAUGGCAGGGCACAGAUUCAUUUUCUGUCUCGUGCAGAUGUAUCCCUCCAAAAUUACUUAGCCCCAAAUUAUGUAAGUAAUGCAGUGUGUGGUUCAUAGGUUUCUUGUUUCUCGCAAGCUCGCUUUGCAAGGAGAUGUUUUCCAAUGUACUGCUCUCCAGCAUUCACAUCCCAUAUGUACUUACCUCAAAGGUUAUUUGAUUCAAAAUAAUGGGAACUAUGGUAGACAAUACAUGUGAAAUUUUUAUCUUACAGCCUAGCUCCUUUUCACAUCUCUCUUUAAGUGAGAUGAAAGAAGGAAGAAAGGAUGCUGCAGCUGACUGUGAAGUCGGCUUAUCUAACUGAACAAAUUGAUAAAGAGCGUUGUGAUUCUUUACCAGUUUAGUUUCUUAUAAAAAAAGUGAAGUGUUAAAUAUCUAUUGAUGUUUUAAAUUGACCGGACAGAUUAGAGUUCUGCAUAACACGGAUCUGUGAGAGGAUGCUGGUGAAGAAGUAAAGUCACUGUGAAAAAUAUUUGCGCUUUCUUUUGACUCUGCUUCUCUUUUGCUUCCUCAGAAGCCCUUUCACAGUUAACUUAAUACUUUGCUGUUUCUGCCUGUCUUUCAUCGGAUGCUAUCAGGCACUGCUGCAGUUUACCAUCGCAGCUUCCAUGGAAGUUCCACUUAUUUGCUCAAAGAUAGAUUUGAAGCCAGAUCUCAAAGCUGAACAUGCAGGUAUUACUUAUUUAAUUGGGAGAAGGAGGAAAAGGCUGGUAGCAUUAUUUUUGUAUUUUUCUUCCUGAAGCCAGCAAAAUGGAUUAGAGACAUUGUAUUUGGCUGUCUAGGGAUAAUAGUCAUGUCUCUUGUACAGAAGUUUUUAACAUCUUCAGGAAUAUGAUUCCUAUUAGCUGCAACAGGACUGGGGCGCUCAACCUUCUGAAGAUCUCACUGUACAUCUUACUGGUCAGUGUUUCCUCUUCAGUGCAAGAGGUGCUGACUGCCAUCUCUCUCUUUAAGUGUUUAAUGUCUCUGAAAACUUGACUCUCCAGAACUACAUCUGAACACUGGAAGGUCAGAGGACUUCUGCAUUUCUGAGCACUGGAUGUGCUGCAGCAGUACUACAGCUCUGAGUAAUAUCUGUGUGUGUUAUUUUUACCCUCUUUCCCUACUUAGCUUUCAUGAAGAGGAAGCUGCAGACAUGCCCCCAGAUCUGAAUGGUGUGAGAAACGGGACAUGGAUGAUAAACCUGUGCUCCCAACAAGAGCAUCCCUGGCACUGGAGCCUGCAUUUGGACUAGAGUGAGAUUGUUGGGACCUCAGACUGCUAAGGCAGUCCUGCCCACGGUCCUGGAGUUAGAUGGGCUGCUGGUGGUUUGCAGCAAACACUUGGGAUGUGGUCACCCUCUUCCAAGGACCAAGAGAGCAGAACAGUCCAGUUUGAAGCCAUUGGCUUCAGCGUCAUCGUGCAGCCCUGACAGCAUUUGCUUUACAAGAGCAGAUACAGCCUGAGGCACGCUGCAAGAGUGCUUGAUAUGGGCUGGAGUGUAUCAGUUGUACCAAACAAAGUGAUUUUGUCAUUGCCCCGAGAGACGCUGUAGAUGAGGAUUUUGUUAUAUUGGAGGGGAGGGGAAAUCACUUUGUCUGUUUCAGUAGUUUUUUUAUAGCACAGUUCUACUUUCCGUGCCAGGCUGUGAUGUAUUUUUGUAGUACUGUAUGAAUGAUUUGUGUUUGAUCCCACAGUGAGAGAGAGCACUUGCAGUCAGCAGAGCAGGAGAGGUCAUUUAUAUGUUGCUAUGAAAGGCAGCAGGAGCAAAUGCCGAGCUUCCCACUGUCAGGCUGACACUUCUCCUGGCACGUCUGAGGCAGAGAAACAGCUGAUUGAUGUUGAGAAAUCAUGGCACGUACUGCCAUCAGCUGAGAAGGGCAAGGAAAUUGAGAAAAUCUGAUCUUCUCUUUACUGAACAGAACUUCACAGCCUGAAAUUUAUCAAUGGAAAGAUGAUAGGAGAAGAAGACAGACAUUGCUUUCCCAGGCACAAGCUGAAAUCAUCAGCACGUAAUAAUAUAAUGCUGCAUAACUGAUAUUCCAGGAUCUCAG